rnacentral:rRNA from 1 species
CAAUUUGAGAGUUUGAUCCUGGCUCAGGAUGAACGCUGGCGGCGUGCCUAAUACAUGCAAGUCGAGCGGAGAUAUGGCGCAAGUCAUAUUUUAGCGGCGGACGGGUGAGUAACGCGUGGAUAAUCUGCCUUUCACUCGCGGAUACCAAUGAGAAAUCAUUGUUAAUACGUGAUACGAUUUAUGUCUCGCAUGGGAUAUAAAAGAAAGAUUAAUCGGUGGAAGAUGAGUCCGCGUCUGAUUAGCUGGUUGGAGAGGUAAAAGCUCACCAAGGCGACGAUCAGUAGCCGGCCUGAGAGGGUGAUCGGCCACAUUGGAACUGAGAGACGGUCCAAACUCCUACGGGAGGCAGCAGUAGGGAAUAUUGCACAAUGGGGGAAACCCUGAUGCAGCAACGCCGCGUGAAGGAAGAAGGUUCUCGGAUCGUAAACUUCUAUCGACAGGGACGAAAACAAUGACGGUACCUGAAUAAGAAGCCCCGGCUAACUACGUGCCAGCAGCCGCGGUAAUACGUAGGGGGCAAGCGUUAUCCGGAAUUACUGGGUGUAAAGGGUGAGUAGGCGGUCGGAUAAGUCAUAUGUGAAAUUCCAGGGCUUAACCCUGGAACUGCAUAAGAAACUGUAAGACUAGAGUACAGGAGAGGUAAGCGGAAUUCUUAGUGUAGCGGUGAAAUGCGUAGAUAUUAAGAAGAACACCAGUGGCGAAGGCGGCUUACUGGACUGAAACUGACGCUGAGUCACGAAAGCGUGGGGAGCGAACAGGAUUAGAUACCCUGGUAGUCCACGCUGUAAACGAUGAUAGCUAGGUGUCGGCUCGAGAGGGUCGGUGCCGCAGUUAACACAAUAAGCUAUCCACCUGGGGAGUACGGUCGCAAGAUUGAAACUCAAAGGAAUUGACGGGGGCCCGCACAAGCGGUGGAGCAUGUGGUUUAAUUCGACGCAACGCGAAGAACCUUACCAAGGCUUGACAUCCCUCUGACGUUGUUGGAGACAGCAAUUUCCUUCGGGACAGAGGAGACAGGUGGUGCAUGGUUGUCGUCAGCUCGUGUCGUGAGAUGUUGGGUUAAGUCCCGCAACGAGCGCAACCCUUAUGUUCAGUAGCCAGCAGGUAAAGCUGGGCACACUGGAGAGACUGCCGGGGAUAACUCGGAGGAAGGUGGGGAUGAGGUCAAAUCAUCAUGCCCCUUAUGUCUUGGGCUACACACGUGCUACAAUGGCUCAAACAAAGUGAAGCCAGCCGGUGACGGUGAGCAAAACACGAAAUUGAGUCUCAGUUCGGAUUGAAGUCUGCAACCCGACUUCAUGAAGUUGGAAUCGCUAGUAAUCGCGAAUCAGCAUGUCGCGGUGAAUACGUUCCCGGGCCUUGUACACACCGCCCGUCACACCAUGGGAGUUGGAAGCGCCCGAAGUCCGUGACCCAACCCGCAAGGGAGGGAGCGGCCGAAGGUGAAGCCAGUGACUGGGGUGAAGUCGUAACAAGGUAGCCGUAUCGGAAGGUGCGGCUGGAUCACCUCCUUU